GACGUAGGGCGCGAGCGUUGUCCGGAUUUAUUGGGCGUAAAGAGCUCGUAGGCGGCUUGUUGCGUCAGCUGUGAAAACCCGCAGCUCAACUGUGGGCUUGCAGCUGAUACGGGCAGGCUUGAGUUCGGUAGGGGAGACUGGAAUUCCAGGUGUAGCGGUGAAAUGCGUAGAUAUCUGGAGGAACACCGGUGGCGAAGGCGGCAUCCUGGACCGACACUGACACUGAGGAGCGAAAGCCAGGGGAGCAAACGGG
rnacentral:rRNA from 1 species